rnacentral:rRNA from 1 species
AUUGAACGCUGGCGGCAGGCCUAACACAUGCAAGUCGAACGAGUGGCGGACGGGUGAGUAAUGUCUGGGAAACUGCCUGAUGGAGGGGGAUAACUACUGGAAACGGUAGCUACUACCGCAUACCAUCAGAUGUGCCCAGAUGGGAUUAGCUAGUUGUGGGGGUAACGGUUAACCAAGGCGACGAUCCCUAGCUGGGCUGAGAGGAUGACCAGCAACACUGGAACGGAGACACGGUCCAGACUCCUACGGGAGGCAGUAGUGGGGAAUAGUGCACAAUGGGCGCAAGCCUGAUGCAGCCAUGCCGCGUGUAUGAAGAAGGCCUUCGGGUUGUAAAGUACUUUCAGCGGGGAGGCGUUACCCGCAGAAGAAGCACCGGCUAAUUCCGGGCCAGCAGCCGCGGUAAUUC